GUCAGUGGCUGCUUUGUGAAGAAGAGUCAGUGCUCUGAGGAGAUGCCCACGAGAAACACCAAGAAGAAAUGACGUUGCUCAUUCUGGUCUGGUGAGAAGGAUGUGGGAGUACCUCAGUGGAGAAAGACAUGCAUCUGGAGUGACACCUACAGAGGAGCCCUCGGAGCCCGCAGCAGGAGGCAGAGCUCUUCCAUUUGGCUGGAGGUGGAAGAGAGGGAAGGGUUCCCUCCACCCCUCACACUGAGUGCAGCACAGCCCUUGAUAACAAGGUCAUGAAAACUCAAGGCUGGAGAAAUUUCUCUGUGUCGGACUGCAGAGUUACACUCCCCACAGCCUGAAGGAAUGAACUUCCAGGAGGAAAAAUGGUCCACAUCAGUUUGGGAUCCUCUGGAUUUCUUGACAUGUUCAAAAUAGGACAGCAGGAACAACUAUACCUCCCUAAGAAAAGGGACACACGUGACAUAUUUCCCCCCCUCAGUGAUGGCCCAGAUGAUAAUUAUGUCCAUG